rnacentral:tRNA from 1 species
UAGAUGAAAGCUCGCUGGUUUGGGCGUCUAGCUGUUAACUAGGAACUUGUAGGAUCGAGGCCUACUCAUCUAG